UACGUAGGGUGCAAGCGUUAUCCGGAAUGAUUGGGCGUAAAGAGCUCGUAGGCGGUUUGUCACGUCUGCUGUGAAAUCCCGAGGCUCAACCUCGGGCCUGCAGUGGGUACGGGCAGACUGGAGUGCGGUAGGGGAGAAUGGAAUUCCUGGUGUAGCGGUGGAAUGCGCAGAUAUCAGGAGGAACACCGAUGGCGAAGGCAGUUCUCUGGGCCGACACUGACACUGAGAGACGAAAGCUAGGGGAGCGAAUGGG
rnacentral:rRNA from 1 species